CAAGAUGAAAAGAUGUAUUUCUUCAUCUCUCUCCUCUUACCUCUCGUAUUCGUCUCUUCCAGUUUCUCUAUCUCUCAUCUUCUUCUACGUGCCUUUUAAUAAAACUGUCUCAAUCACCAUCACCAUAAACGAAUCAGUGUCAACACCCAUCACAAUAAACAAAAUCUGUCUCAACCUUCAUCACCAAUCACCAUAAAUGAAUCUGUCUCAAUCUUCAUCAGCUCAAACAAAAUCUGUCUCCAGCCGAGAUUACAAGACACGGUGGACUUCGACGAGAAGAACAGGUUGAUUUAUGAGAGAUAAUACUGUCGAGUAAGCGAACAGAUGCUCUGGAAGACCUGUUCCGUAGCCAUCCCUAAGGAAAGAAUUGACCUAGUGAGAAGAACCAGAGGAGCAAUGCUACGGGAGUAAGCGAAUAGAGGUUUUGGAGGCGGGAGGUGGAUGCUCUGGAGGCUGCAGGCUGGAGGCGAGGAUUAGGGUUGCAGGCGGAGGCUUAGUCUAGGUUUAGGAUAAUUAUGUUUUGGUUUAAUAUUUUAAUUUGUUUUUGGUUUAAUGUGUUCUUUAACUGUUUGUAUACUUGAUUUUAAUUAAUAAAUAAAAUUUAAUAUUUAAUUA